rnacentral:rRNA from 1 species
UACGUAGGGUGCAAGCGUUGUCCGGAAUUAUUGGGCGUAAAGAGCUCGUAGGCGGCUUGUCGCGUCGUUCGUGAAAACCCACGGCUCAACUGUGGGCUUGCGGUCGAUACGGGCAGGCUGGAGUUCGGUAGGGGAGACUGGAAUUCCUGGUGUAGCGGUGAAAUGCGCAGAUAUCAGGAGGAACACCGGUGGCGAAGGCGGGUCUCUGGGCCGAUACUGACGCUGAGGAGCGAAAGCGUGGGGAGCGAACAGG